AGCUUUGCGCAGUGUCACUGUCAUGGCCAAGGAGGUCUAUCCGAGGCGCGAUUAUUGCUAACUGAAAACUUUUCCCAAAACGUUUCCUGAUAACCAGGGUGCUUUUUUAAAGUCAAAAUGUAC
rnacentral:snRNA from 1 species